GCGCCAAUAGUCUAGCCUGGUUCAAGAUGCAGGAAAGGAUACGAGCUUCCCAAGCUUGUGGCUCGGGUUCAAAUCCCGAUUGGCGCA
rnacentral:tRNA from 1 species